UACGAAGGGGGCUAGCGUUGUUCGGAAUUACUGGGCGUAAAGCGCACGUAGGCGGACUAUUAAGUCAGGGGUGAAAUCCCGGGGCUCAACCCCGGAACUGCCUUUGAUACUGGGGAUCUCGAGUCCGGAAGAGGUGAGUGGAACUCCGAGUGUAGAGGUGAAAUUCGUAGAUAUUCGGAAGAACACCAGUGGCGAAGGCGGCUCACUGGUCCGGUACUGACGCUGAGGUGCGAAAGCGUGGGGGAGCAAACAGG
rnacentral:rRNA from 1 species